CCUACGGGUGGCUGCAGUGAGGAAUAUUGGUCAAUGGACGCUAGCCUGAACCAGCCAAGUAGCGUGAAGGAUGACUGCCCUAUGGGUUGUAAACUUCUUUUAUAUGGGAAUAAAGUGCACUAUGUAUGCUACUUUGCAUGUACCUUAUGAAUAAGGAUCGGCUAACUCCGUGCCAGCAGCCGCGGUAAUACGGAGGAUCCGAGCGUUAUCCGGAUUUAUUGGGUUUAAAGGGAGCGUAGGCGGGUUGUUAAGUCAGUUGUGAAAGUUUGCGGCUCAACCGUAAAAUUGCAGUUGAUACUGGCAGCCUUGAGUACAGUAGAGGUAGGCGGAAUUCGUGGUGUAGCGGUGAAAUGCUUAGAUAUCACGAAGAACUCCGAUUGCGAAGGCAGUUCACUGGACUGUAACUGACGCUGAGGCUCGAAAGUGUGGGUAUCAAACAGGAUUAGAUACCCUGGUAGUC
rnacentral:rRNA from 1 species